AGCUGCUCGGCAUUUCCAAGGGCUCCAGCGGCUUCUGACCCUGGUGCUGAAACCUAGAAACACGGCGGAGGAACUACCGAGGCUCCGCCGCGCACUCCGAACAAAGCGGGAAUUUGAGCUUUCGCCAGGGAGAAACCCACCCUUGCGUCUGCGGAAAAGGAGCCUUGGUUUGACUAAGGAAGCGCGACGGUAGGGCAGCAGUGGCCCCGGACCCCACCAGCAACGCCGGAGGAGUCGGCGCCAGAGAUUUGCCUCUUCCGAGCCACCCUUGAAGGCAAAGGAGCAGAUAAAAGGGGAAUCGCGCGUUUCGAGCGGGAUCCGCACCGCACCUGUGUACCGCCCUCCCCAACUGUCCCCAACAUGUUCAUCUACCACCGUGACGACCAUCCCGCCUGCAGAGACCCCACCCCAUAUCGGCCACCACCGGUUGUUACAGAUCACUUAUGGAUAUACUUCUGGUACUGAUUGGAGAACACAAUAAAACCAUUGGCUGACUGAAAUAUUACAUGGCUUGGAUGGCCUCCUUCCAAGUAGCCUGAGAAGAUUGCUACAAAAUUGUCAUUGUAGACAAUUGAGUUGGGGCAAGUGAUAGAACGUUUAUCAAGACUCUGUGUUUCAAAGCCUGUGACUUUGCAACGUGGUAUCACUCUUCAUUUUAUUUUGUCAUUGUGACUAGCUCAGAGACCUGUAGAACUCUUAACUCUUAAAUAAAGCUCUUUAGCUCUUAAAUAAAGCUAAAAUAAAUUGUUAGCUUUAUUUAAGAAAUACACAAAAACUUGAGGCAUUUGGUCUAUAAUCUAUAGCUAUCUGCAGAUUAUUGGUCCAUUUGGUUUCAUUACUGGAGAGAAGAGGAAUCAGGAAUGAAGCUGAACUGAACAGGAUAGAAAUAUUACAUGGAUCUGAGAAGGAGGGAGAAAUGAAAAUGAUGACAUUCUGACAGGAUGACCAGUGGAAUUAAAAGGAAAUGUGUUAUCUAAUGACAUACGAAGAAAGUCAUUUACCCAAGUAAAGGAUCUAACACUGAAGAGUUCCUCUUCUAACUAUUUCUUGUCCCUAAGAUGUUAGGUUAAAAUGCUUUUAGAGGCAGAUAAACAAUAAAUGCAAAGUUGAAUUCCAAUACGUUUCGAAGGACUUUGAAAGUAGAAGAGCUUGACACAACCAGUCACUUCCUUUCAUAACCAAGAGUAAAUGAAUGCUGCUUGAAAGAGAUACUGGCCACCACUUUGUAUUCAUAAUUCUUAAAAAGAGGUUGAAAUUUGCACCACAGCUGUUUCUGCUGGGUAUAGUUACGGAUUGUACGGUUAUAGAGACUAAAUUGAUUUUGAAUUUAAUAACUGCAGCAAGAUUGUUGGUGGCACAAUAUUGGAAGAAGCAAGAUUUACCUACAAUCCAAGAAUGGACAUUGAAAGUUAUAAACCUAGCGGAAAUGGCAAAAAUUUCGGCGUACCUGAAGGACCAUUCAAAUGAAAGAUAUUUAAGGGACUGGAGAAGAUGGAUAGAUUAUAUCCAAAAUAAAUACCAGAAUAAGAAAUUGCAGAUAGGUUAUGAAUGAUUAUACAGAUAUUUGGUGUCUGUUUAAGUAAUUAAGUUAGUAGGGAAAUUAGGGAAUUGAAGGAACAAGAGAUGUGGAAUGUUAUAAUUAUCUAGACUAG